rnacentral:rRNA from 1 species
CGGCGUGCUUAACACAUGCAAGUCGAGCGGUAAGGCACUUCGGUGUACACGAGCGGCGAACGGGUGAGUAACACGUGAGUAAUCUGCCCUUCACUCUGGGAUAAGCACUCGAAAGGGUGUCUAAUACCGGAUACGACAUAGUCCUGCAUGGGAUCUGUGUGGAAACUUUUAUGGGUGGGGGAUGUGCUCGCGGCCUAUCAGCUUGUUGGUGGGGUAAUGGCCUACCAAGGCUUCGACGGGUAGCCGGCCUGAGAGGGUGACCGGCCACACUGGGACUGAGACACGGCCCAGACUCCUACGGGAGGCAGCAGUGGGGAAUAUUGGACAAUGGGCGGAAGCCUGAUCCAGCAACGCCGCGUGAGGGAUGACGGCCUUCGGGUUGUAAACCUCUUUCAUCACAGACGAAGCGCCCGUGUGGGUGGUGACGGUAUGUGGAGAAGAAGCACCGGCCAACUACGUGCCAGCAGCCGCCGUAAGAC